CUGGACGAGCAAUGAGCUGAUGGAUGUUGAUCGUCCAAGAUGUGGAAACAGCAGCUGGAACCAACAGGACUUGGUGGAAACAACUGGAGGAGACAUGCCUGAUGGAUAUGUUACCCCCCCCCCCCUUUCAAGACAUUUCACAGUAGAUAACGGACACUGAUCAGAUGUUUUAGCGAACAUGUGCAUUUUGCUGGAAAAAGAAUCUGACAUGCCAUGUGGAUUUUGAGAUUUUAACCAGUUAGAGAAAAUUUGAUGAGCUUUCAUUUGAGGGGUGUCCCAUCCUUCAAUGAAAAUAAGGGGAGAAGCUGUGUGAGAAAACAUUAACAUUGUUACCUAUGGGAAAUUCAUUAGUGGACUGUACCCAGACUGAUGGAUGUUGACCCUCUAAAAUGUGGAAAUGAGCUUCUACACCAGACAGGAAUUGGUGGAAAAACCAGGAAAGGGCAAGACUGAUGGAUUUAUUUGACCCUUCAAGAUGUGGAAAUGAACAGCAACAGUCAGACAGGAAUUGGUGGAAGCAACUAGAAAAGAUGGGACUGAUGGAUGAUGACCUUCCCAACAGCAAGACUUAUCCCUGUGGAGAACUGUCACUGAUCAGUGUGCUUUAAUGACUUAGUAGUACCCUGUAGAAGACUUAGAUAAAGUCAUGUGGAUGUGCUUGACAUUAUGAAUGAUAAGGAGCCC